GAGUUUGUGUGUUUUUUUAACUUUUAUUUUGGUGGGUUGCAGUGAAAAGCCGUGAGUUUGUGUGUUUUUUUAACUUUUAUUUUGGUGGGUUGCGGUGAAGAGCUGCGAGUUUGUGUGUUUUAGGAACUUUUAUUUUGCCGAGUUGCAGUGAAGAGCCGCAAGUUUUUGUGUGUUUUUUUAACUUUUAUUUUGGUGGGUUGCGGUGAAGAGCCGCGAGUUUGUGUGUAUCUGCCGACAGCUUUCUGAACUUUUAUUUUGGCA